CAAGUUAUUUAAGGGUCUUGUUGGGAGUUAGAGUUUUUUUGCUUGAUUAGGUGAAUGAUACUUGGUAAAGAUGUCAAUAUUGAAUACGGGUUUUGCACAAGUUAGCCACGUCCAUAUCAUCUACCACUAGGAUUUCAAUAGUAGAACCAACAGCAAACUCCUCCUAGAAGGAGUAAUUUAAAGGAGAUGAUGCAUAAAUUCAUCUUCGCUUUUGAAACUCAAUUUUAAUCAUUAGAAACCACUCUUAGGAGCCAGUGAGCUUCGUUCAUAACUUAGAGAAUCAAGUGGGUUGAUUGUAAAACUCUUUAUUGAAAGACCAUAAGGAAGCUUGCCUAGUAACAUAGAGGCAAAUCCAAAGGAACAUCUUAAGGCUAUUACCUUGAGAAGUGGUAAGGAAUUAGGAAUCAAAGUGAAUGAAGCAGUUGAGAGAUCUACCAUAGUUGAAAAUCUAGUUACGGAAGGAAAGGGUGAAGAGGCUAAAGUAGAAGAAAAAGUAUAAGCAAUAUCAAAGCCUACUCCUAUUAUGAAGGAGUAUCAACCAAGGGUUCCUUAUCUAGCCCCUCUUUAGAAAGACCAAUUGGAUCCACAAUUUGGUAAGUUUCUUGAACUUUUUAAACAAUUGCAUAUUGACAUACCUUUUGUGGAAGGUUUAUCACAGAUACCUAAGUAUGCUAAGUUCUUAAAGGAACUCCUCUCUAAUAAGAGGAAGCUAGAUGAAGUGUCAAUAAUGCAACUAUUAGAAAAGAGCUCGACAAUCAUUCAAAGGCGAUUACCAAAGAAAUUGAAAGACUUGGGGAGUUUUAUAUUCCUUAUUUUAUUGGUAAUCUAAAUAUUGAUAAUGUAUUGGCUGAUUUAUGAAACUAGGACUAGGAGAACCUAAACUAACUCUCAUGAGUAUUCAGCUAGCUGAUAAAUCUGUUGUGUACCUAAGGGGUAUCAUCGAGGAUGUGUUGGUUAAGGUUCAAGAAUUUAAUUUUUAUAUGAAUUUUGUAAUCAUGGAUAUGGAUGAGGGUAUUGAUUUUUUCUUAUUUUAGGUAGUCCUUUUCUUGCUAUAGCUAGGACCAUUACCGAUGUUCAUGAUGGUAACCUUAUUAUUAUGAUAGGAGAUGAACAAGUAAUCUUUCAAAUUUCUAGUGCAAUGAAAACAUCCACUUGUACUUAAUGACAUGGAUUUUGGUGAUGGUAAGAUAGAGCAUGAAGCUGUAAAUUUUAUUUUAUCUAUUGUUGGUAAAGAUCCUCUUGAGUUGUAUCUUGUGUAGGAAUAGAAAAAAUUAGAAACAAUAGAAGCUUUGGAGAAGUUAGUUCUGAGUUGAUAGAGGAACAAAAAGUUAGGCUAUUGAAGGUUUUGAGAAGGCGACAAAAGACCAUAGCAUAGAAGAUUGCAAAUAUCAAGACGAUUAGCCCUUCCUUUUGCAUGCACAAAAUCCUAAUAGAAGAGGAGUUUAAGACUAUGGUGCAACCUCAAAGAUAUUUAACUAAACAUGAAAUAAGUAGUGAAGAAGGAGGUGAUCAAACUUUUUGAUGCAAGAAUAAUUUAUCAUAUUUCGGACAGUUCUUGGGUAAGCCUAGUCCAAGUAGUGCUAAGAAAGGAGGCAUGACAGUUGUGGUAAAUAAGAAUAAUGAGCUUAUCCCAACAAGAAAAGUAAUAGGAUGGAGAGUGUGCAUUGACAACAAGAAAUUGAAUGAUGCCAUUAGGAAAGAUCGCUUCUCAUUGCCCUUUAUAUGAUGGGUUUUGCUUUUGUAGGAAUUUAACUUGGAAAUACAAGGCAAGAGAGGGGUAGAAAACUUAGCAGCUGAUCAUUUAUCUCGCCUCGAAAAUCCUUAUUUGGAAGAGCUACAAGAGAAGGACAUCAAUGGCCAUUUUCUGGAUGAGCAAUUGUAUGCCAUGAUAAGUUUGCUAAGUGGAUCAGAAUUUUGCAUUCCAUGGAUAAUGAAGAGUUGUAUGGCAUGGCCAAAAACUAUGAGCAUUCUUGGUCAUUGUCAUUGUGGACCAGCUGGAGGAUAUUAUCGAGCAAGUAGAAUUGCACAGUAAGUGCUUGAAUCAGGGUUCUAUUGGCCAACUCUAUUCAGAGAUAGUUAAAGCUUUGUAUAAGAAUAUGACUAUUGCCAAUAGAUAGGUAAUAUAUCAUCUCCUAAUGGGAUGUCCCAAUAAGGUAAUACUUGAAUGUAAAAUUUUUAUUGUAUGAGGCAUUGACUUCAUGGGACCUUUCCUUAAUUCUUUUGGUAACAAGUAUAUCUUGGUAGUUAUCGAUUAUGUGUCUAAAUAGGUACAAGCACAAGCUUUGCCUCGAAAUGAUGCUAGUAUAGUUGUGAGUUUCUUAAAAAAGAUAUUUUGCAAGGUUGGCACCCUUAAGGGAAUUAUUAGUGAUAUAGGCACACACUUUUGUAAUGCUUAAUUAAAAAAUGGGUUAAGAUGUGCUGCAUCAUAUACAAAUUUGCCACCCCCUAUCACCCCUAAACUAAUUGCCAAAUUGAGAACAUGAAUAGAGAACUCAAGAGAAUUCUUGAGAAGACCGUAGAGCGAUAUAGUAAAGAUUAGUUGAUGUGACUUGAUAACACUCUAUAGGCUUAUAGAAUUGCUUUUAAAAAACUCUAGACACUACUCCUUAUAUACUAGAUUAUGGAAGAUCUUAUCAUCUACCUGUAGAGAUUGAGCAUAAAGCGUUCUGGGCUAUUAAAUAGGUUAACCUUGAUCUAGCUAGUGCAGGAUUGAAAAAGAGUUUACAGAUUAAUGAGUUAGAUGAGUGGAGAUUACGUAUGUAUGAGAGCGCUCAUCUAACCAAAAAGCGCAUAAAGAGAUGGCAUGAUGCUCAAAUUAAGUCGAAAGGAGAGUUUUAGCUUAAAAACAAUGUACUUUUAUUCAAGUUGAGACUCCGGCUAUUCCUAGGUAAGUUGAAAUCAUAUUAGUAAGAUCCAUUUGUGGUAAAAUAAGUUUUUCCAUAUGAUUCGAUUACAUUAACUCAACUUGAAAAGGGUGAUUUUAUGGUUAAUGGACAUAGAUUGAAGCUAUAUUUCGGUGGAGAGUUUGAUUUGAGAAAAUAAAUGUUAUAACUUCUCGAAUCAGGAUAAAAAAUCACAUAAGUGUGUAGCUAAAAUGACAUUAAAGAAGCACUUGAUAAGAGACGACCUACCAUUUUAAAUUUAUUACGAAUUUUUCUAAUUUUACUUCUUUUGAUUUCGUUAUUUGUGCUUUUUACUCUAGUUUUUUAAGUUCUUAAUUCAUUUUUAUUUAAAUAAUGCAUAAGUUUUGAUGUGAAAUUGAUGUGAAGCUUGCAAGAGUUUUAAAAUUCUUAGGAAAAAAUUCAAAAAGGACCCACAUGGGGACCAUACGGGAACUGGCAUGGCCGUGUGAGUCCCUUAUACUUCAAGAUGAAAAGGAUAGCAUCUUCCAAAAGUAACACGGGGAGUACACUGGCUCUUUACACUACCGUGUGACUCCCUUGCAUCAAAAUUUUUUUUGGAAGAAAUCUCAAAAAUCCACACAAGGAGUACGCAUGAAGACGCACAACUAUGUACUCUAUAAAAGCCAAAGGGGCAGAAGCUGCAGAAAUUGACACAGGGAGACGACACUACUGUGUCUCCCCCAUGUGCCUCAAUAACACAAAAAAAGGAAAAAGAUCAACACGCUGACACCGAGGACGUACACUGCUAUAACAAAUGAUUUAAAACACUUCUCUCCCUUUUUCUUCGCACAAAACUCAAAUCCCUAAAGCCUUUCUCUCAACUCUUUUCUCAUUUUUCGAUAUUUUUCUGCUUCUCUUUCUCUCUAAACACCAUUUCUCAUACCAUUUCACUUGCAAAUCAAUACAAACAUUAACUCUACUAUCUCAUUUGCUUUAUUUUUGUAUGGGUUUCCUUGGAUUGCAUUAUUGUGUGCCAUUUGUGUGUUUUCUUAUGUUUUCUACAAAGAUAGUCACGCGUCCUAAGAAGAACACUACCAAGAAUAGAACCUUCACUCAAGUCCCUUUAAAAUGCCCAAGAAGUGGGAGUUCUUCAUCCCAAGCCCCUCAGAAGCUACACUACUUGUGUCAUUUGAUAGGAGCCAUCCUUCGGUUCAAUUUAAUGACCCAAUCUCAAGGGCUCGCUUUGAGCAUUUGGCCAAAGAAAAGUUCUAACCAACUAUGCAUUUCGAUUAGGUUUUCAUGAGCUCUAUUGGGUUUAAAGAGCAAUUGAAGAGUUGGGUAACACAACCAGCAUGGAAGAUGUUCUUCGAAAUCUCAGAGCCGACAUAUAGGGAAAUAACUUUGGUGUUCUAUUGCUCCCUCUGAUUUGAAGUGACUCAAAAUGUCGACCAAAUAAAGAAGAGUGUCCAAUCUCAACUUAGGAGAAAAAAAUUUGAUACGUGCAUCAACAAAUUCAGGGUUGUUAUAGGUAUCUAUACCAUGAAGGAGGUAAAUAUCAAGGACUAUAAGCAUGCUCCUUUUAAGUUUUAUGGAACUAGAAAUGCAGGGAGGGUAUGGGCAAAAUUGGCAGCUAAUGCACCUAGGUACGUCAUAUCUAAGUCAAAAGCAUUUGCACUUGAAUCUUUUUUAUUAAGAUUUUUGCACUUCUUGUUAACAACCACAAUUACAGGUAGGAGUGAGAGUGGUGGGCAUUGCUUCUAACAAGACCUUUCCUAUCUAAUGUGCUUUAAUAAGAACAUUUGGUACAAUGUAGCCCUUGUGGUUGUUGAUUUACUUUACAAAUAGGGCUAAGAAACUGGACAAUGGUGUUUAGGCGAGGGAAUGUAUGUCACUAGGCUAGCCUAUAAUUUGGGAGUUUUUUAAGGUCUUUUGGCGAAGACUUUGGACGGUCUCCCAAAAUUGAUGGGGUAUGAGACUCUAUACCGGAUGGACAAACAUAGGUAAAUCUUAUUUGUGAUACCUCCUCUACAAGAUGAAUUUCUUUUUAACACGACAAGAGAGCACCCGGUACCUCCUCCUACUACCAAAGGUAAUUUUGGUUUGAGUAAUGAUUUAAUUGUAGCUAGAGCCUCAUCCUCUUUAUUCUGCCCUCCACCUAGUGGAGCUUACUGCGAUUGGAUGGGGUAUAAUUUUGUUCAAUUGAAUGAGGAUAUGAAACUUAUAAAUUUUCAGUAGUAGAUUUGUGGACUUCAGAUGCAGAUACACGGACUCCAAUGCCAAGAUAAUAAGCUAUUUCAUAACCAAACUCAAAUGAUGGGUAUGUUAAGGAAUCAAUAGGAAAUGAUACAGAGAUAGCAAAUGAGCAUGGAUUGACUCUAUAACUCAAUGAUGCAGGGUUGGUAGUCUUAGGGUCACACUCCACCAAGACUGCCACCUAAUUAUCAGACACACUAGGUCCAACUGGAUGAUGGAGCUAGUCUACAUGAGGUUGAUUCAGAUGAUAGCGAAGGAGAUGGAGAUAAAGAUGUAGCCUAUGAUACCGAUGACAUCAAUAGUGGUAUGGAGGGUUGAGCCUCCAUUUUUAUUAUUAUUUUAAUAAUUUUAUCUUAUUUUAUUUGAUUUUUUAUUUUUCUUUAAUUUCUGGAUAAUUAUACUUAAGUAGGGUAUUUAUUUCUAUAUUCUGUUUUUGAUGUUUUUCUAUUUUGUUUUAUAUUCUGAUCGGAUGACUAUAGUAUACUAUAACCUUUAUUUUUAUUCUUACCUUUUCAAUAGAUAAAAAAAUGAUUAUUAAAA